AACGAACGCUGGCGGCAUGCCUAACACAUGCAAGUCGAACGAGACCUUCGGGUCUAGUGGCGCACGGGUGCGUAACGCGUGGGAACCUGCCCUUAGGUUCGGAAUAACUCCCCGAAAGGGGUGCUAAUACCGGAUAAUGUCUUCGGACCAAAGAUUUAUCGCCUUUGGAUGGGCCCGCGUUGGAUUAGCUAGUUGGUAGGGUAAAAGCCUACCAAGGCGACGAUCCAUAGCUGGUCUGAGAGGAUGAUCAGCCACACUGGGACUGAGACACGGCGCAGACUCCUACGGGAGGCAGCAGUGGGGAAUAGUGGACUAUGGGCGACAGCCUGAUCCAGCAAUGCCGCGUGAGUGAUGAAGGCCUUAGGGUUGUAAAGCUCUUUUACCCGCGAUGAUAAUGACAGUACCGGGAGAAUAAGCUCCGGCUCACUCCGUU
rnacentral:rRNA from 1 species